rnacentral:rRNA from 1 species
UACAGAGGGUGCAAGCGUUUGUUCGGAAUUAUUGGGCGUAAAGCGCGUGUAGGCGGCUUUGCAAGUCGGGUGUGAAAGCCCUCAGCUUAACUGAGGAAGUGCGCCCGAAACUGCUUGGCUUGAGUACCGGAGAGGAUGGCGGAAUUCCCCAAGUAGAGGUGAAAUUCGUAGAUAUGGGGAGGAACACCGGUGGCGAAGGCGGCCAUCUGGACGGAUACUGACGCUGAGACGCGAAAAGCGUGGGUAGCAAACAGG